CCCAUGUUGGUAUGGUCACAGUGGCCAGGCUGACAGAAACCGGAUGGUCGCAGGUUCAAAUCCUGCCCGCGGGA
rnacentral:tRNA from 1 species